GGGCGAGUAGCUCAGUUGGUUAGAGCGCCUGCCUUACAAGCAGGAUGUCGGGGGUUCGAGUCCCUCCUUGCCCA
rfam:Terriglobus roseus DSM 18391, complete genome.